AUAAGACUCGUAACUAGAUUUUGACGGUGAACCUCAGGCAGCGAAAGUGCACCGACAGAUGGGUUCUUGAACUAUAAUUAUUAUUAAGCGAUAUAUUUAAAUUUGAAACGAUAAUUAAAUAUGUUCUCUAAAACCGGCUUUUUCAUUGAAGAUAAAAAGUUAACAUGUUUAAAAGUGUGUCACAAGUCGUAAAAAAGUUGGGAAUUCCCGGUAUAGGAAGUGCCUCUUACCACAUCUUUUUUAUCUUAUAAUUAGGGGAAACCAUAAUCUAGGAAGAACCUAAGAAUUCGGAAAGGGACUAGUAAGAACGUAAGAGGUGGCCCAGGUAGAUUUGGAAGAACCUAACCUAAAUAAAAAUUUCUACACUUCCUUUUUGCCAAAGGAACUACGUUGCACCAGAGUGAAUAUACAUCGGGAAAUCUCCUGAAAUUAAUUAUGCUCGUCAACGCGCGUAUCACGGUGUAAUUGGAGCGACUCGUUCAGAGUAACAACUAACGAGGGUGCGUUCACACCCACGUACCAAGCGGAGCAUGUUUUAAAGCACUAAAUAUGGAUGCUUCUCUUUAAAUUCUCUGCAUAGUUUUCAUGUAUGAGCUUAUACGGAACAUGGAGUGAAAUGUAGGAACUUUGAUUGAUUUGUAGCAUGUCAAGUGAAAUAAUAUUUAUUUAAUUUUGUUAAACAAAUUAUUUCAGUAAUAGUAGAUAAUGCUAUAGUGUAGUUUUUGUUAGGUAUCUAUUGGAGAUCCUAAGAGAGAGGUUAUAGUAUAGUUUGAUUACAAAGAAGAAUCAUUAUGUAAACUAAACAUUUAUAUAUUUAUUUCGUAAGUAUGCAAUGUCAACAGUAUAGGCUAUAGAGAAUAUUUUUUUUAUACAUAAAGCAACAGAGCUUGCGAAAGUUUAUAUUUAAAGCACUUAUGAUGCUGGUAUAUAAAACUUAGACUAAUAGCAAAUAUCUUAUUUACUGUCAACCGUUUAUUUA
rnacentral:lncRNA from 1 species